AUUGAACGCUGGCGGCAGGCCUAACACAUGCAAGUCGAACGAGUGGCGGACGGGUGAGUAAUGUCUGGGAAACUGCCUGCUGGAGGGGGAUAACUACUGGAAACGGUAGCUAAUACCGCAUACCAUCGGAUGUGCCCAGAUGGGAUUAUCUAGUAGGUGUGGUAACGGCUCACCUAGGCGACUAUCCCUAGCUGGUCUGCAAGGAGGACCAGCCACACUGGAACUGAGAUACGGUCCAGACUCCUACGGGAGGCAGCAGUGGGGAAUAUUGCACAAUGUGCGCAAGCCUGAUGCAGCCAUGCCGCGGGUAUGAAGAAGGCCGUCGGGUUGUAAAGUACGUUCAGCGGGGAGGCGUUACCCGCAGAAGAAGCACCGGCUAACUCCGUGCCAGCAGCCGCGGUAAUUC
rnacentral:rRNA from 1 species